UCUAGGACUAUUGCUGGCCAUGGCAAAGUGGAGCUACUGCCCUCCAAGCUAGAAAAGAGGUGUACAUCCCCAUGUACACCCUGCUGCACAUCAUCUACUUCUGUCAGCUCAUCUAAUAGGCUCUAUGGUCUGCUGGAGGGAGAAGGAGAGAGAAAAUGUGGAAGUGUGGGGAAAGGGAUGCCAGCAAGCCACAGUAGCCAAGGUUUUCCCCAAGUGCUCUGCAGUGGAAUGAUGACAAGUUGUUUCUGCAAAGAGAGAACUCCUGCCUCAUUAAGUUCACAGGACAAACUGUGCUGGAGGAAUGAAUCAAGGUUGUGUACUGAGUGAAACUGUUGUAGGACUGCUGCCUCAUUUGUUGCAGAAGUUGGAAGAUAUGUAGUGAAUGAAGCAGAGAACUAUCAUUAGGGCAGCUGAAACAUGGAAAUUGAACUCUAUCCCUGACACUGCCACAGAGUUCCUAUCUGAUGCUAUGGCAUACAGGCUCCAUGCUGGCAAGGAGAGGGUUAAUGAAGGCCUCUGGACCCAACUGGCCUUGUGUCAUUACACUUGCAACAGAUGUCAGGUAUGGAGUUAAAAGAAGUCCCAGCUCAGUGCUGGGCUGAUCAGGAAAGAAAGCAGAGCUCUGCUUCUUCAUUGCCAAAGAAAAGCCUGGUUUCAGCCAAGAGUCAGAUACAGCUUGCUGUCUGGAUGAGCCUCUCAAAGGAUGAGAUGACCAGGCCGAAGAAGACUGACCAAAAGCCGGGCCACAUGUUAUUUCCUGCGGCCCUCCAUAGGCACCAACUUCACCGGCAGCUAAUCUCCACUCUUGUCCCCCUCCUCCUCACUUCCCCCCAAGUGUGUUGUGUCCCUGCUCCUCCUCCUACCUCUCAGCGCUUCCUUGGCUGCACUUAGGACUUUCCGGGGGGGA